rnacentral:rRNA from 1 species
ACGGAAGGCAGCAGUGAGGAAUAUUGGUCAAUGGGCGAGAGCCUGAACCAGCCAAGUAGCGUGAAGGAUGACUGCCUUACGGGUUGUAAACUUCUUUUAUACGGGAAUAAAAAAGGCCACGCGUGGCCUCUUGCAUGUACCGUAUGAAUAAGCAUCGGCUAAUUCCGUGCCAGCAGCCGCGGUAAUACGGAAGAUGCGAGCGUUAUCCGGAUUUAGUGGGUUUAAAGGGAGCGUAGGCGGGUCUUUAAGUCAGUGGUCAAAGCGUGUGGCUCAACCAUACCACGCCAUUGAUACUGGAGACCUUGAGUGCACAUAAGGAUGGUGGAAUUCGUCGUGUAGCGGUGAAAUGCUUAGAUAUGACGAAGAACUCCGAUUGCGAAGGCAGCUGUCCGGGGUGUAACUGACGCUAAUGCUCGAAAGUGCGGGUAUCAAACAGGAUUAGAUACCCUGGUA